CGCCUACCUGCAGUCGACGGUAGCACAGAGAGCUUGCUCUCGGGUGACGAGUGGCGGACGGGUGAGUAAUGUCUGGGAAACUGCCUGAUGGAGGGGGAUAACUACUGGAAACGGUAGCUAAUACCGCAUAACGUCGCAAGACCAAAGAGGGGGACCUUCGGGCCUCUUGCCAUCAGAUGUGCCCAGAUGGGAUUAGCUAGUAGGUGGGGUAACGGCUCACCUAGGCAACGAUCCCUAGCUGGUCUGAGAGGAUGACCAGCCACACUGGAACUGAGACACGGUCCAGACUCCUACGGGAGGCAGCAGUGGGGAAUAUUGCACAAUGGGCGCAAGCCUGAUGCAGCCAUGCCGCGUGUAUGAAGAAGGCCUUCGGGUUGUAAAGUACUUUCAGCGGGGAGGAAGGUGUUGUGGUUAAUAACCGCAGCAAUUGACGUUACCCGCAGAAGAAGCACCGGCUAACUCCGUGCCAGCAGCCGCGGUAAUACGGACGGUGCAAGCGUUAAUCGGAAUUACUGGGCGUAAAGCGCACGCAGGCGGUCUGUCAAGUCGGAUGUGAAAUCCCCGGGCUCAACCUGGGAACUGCAUUCGAAACUGGCAGCUAUAGUCUUGUAGAGGGGGGUAGAAUUCCAGGUGUAG
rnacentral:rRNA from 1 species